AUUGAACGCUGGCGGCAGGCCUAACACAUGCAAGUCGAACGGUAACAGGAAGAAGCUUGCUUCUUUGCUGACGAGUGGCGGACGGGUGAGUAAUGUCUGGGAAACUGCCUGAUGGAGGGGGAUAACUACUGGAAACGGUAGCUAAUACCGCAUAACGUCGCAAGACCAAAGAGGGGGACCUUCGGGCCUCUUGCCAUCGGAUGUGCCCAGAUGGGAUUAGCUAGUAGGUGGGGUAACGGCUCACCUAGGCGACGAUCCCUAGCUGGUCUGAGAGGAUGACCAGCCACACUGGAACUGAGACACGGUCCAGACUCCUACGGGAGGCAGCAGUGGGGAAUAUUGCGCAAUGGGCGCAAGCCUGAUGCAGCCAUGCCGCGUGUAUGAAGAAGGCCUUCGGGUUGUAAAGUACUUUCAGCGGGGAGGAAGGGAGUAGAGUUAAUACCUUUGCUCAUUGACGUUACCCGCAGAAGAAGCACCGGCUAACUCCGUG
rnacentral:rRNA from 1 species